AUGUGGCCAAACAACGCAGCUGCAUUAUUAAUCAGAGCACGUAGAGAAGUGCACCAGUUCAAUGACAUCAGGGGUUUCUACUUUAGGAAGAAAGCCGCAAACAUUCAACUCUUAGAUUCAUCUCAACUAUUUGGAUAAUCCAUGAAUCCGUUUGAAUCAAAAUCAGGUCUGGGUCAGUCGCUGGUCCUCCGCUGGUUCUUCGUCCGUCUAUGUUCCUGGAUGUGCUUCUUCUAUGGGAAGUAUACAUUCAAAUAUAAAUACAUUUGCUUGCGAUGAGUGGCUGUCUUUUGUCUCUGUGUAACAGCUGUUUGUCUCUCUAUUUGUCUCUCUGUUUGUCUCUGUCUCUGUUUGUCUCUGCACUGCUAUUAAUCAUAUCAUUUACUGUUUCUAUAUUGCCAGUGUUCAUUAUAUCACUGUUUUUAUAUAUUGCUAUAUUUUCUCUCUGUCUCUCUCCCUCUCUUGAAUUGCCAUCAGUUUGAAUCCUGUAUGAUGGAAGAUUUCUUUAGUGGUUGAUGUUGUCCUUUAGGGUUGUGAUUAUGGGCUGUAGCGUGUCUGUUUGAAUCCUGUAUGAUGGGAGAUCUCUACAGUGGUUGGCGUUGUACUUCAAAGUUGUGAUUACAGGCUGCUGCAUGCUGGUUUGAAUCUUGUGUUGGCUUUCGAGGUUGUGUUUUUGUGCUGCAGCCUGUACUGUAUGUGUUGGCCUUUUGGGUUUUGUCACACUCUUCUGUAUUUCUUUCUUUAUCUCUCUCCCACUCUUGUUGGGUCUCGAUCUGUAUUUACAAAGUGUCCAUGUUACUAACUUCACUUCUUCUGAUCAAACAAACCUUAAUAUUGACGGUUCAAUUGUAUGAAAUAAUAGAUAACAAUAUUCACUUUUUCUUAAGCUGCUUGACAGAUGCUGAUCUCCUUCGGGUCUUCCAGACCAGUUUUUGGAUGGUAGCUGCUACACAGAUGCCAGUGAGAUUCUGCUGGUGGUCCUUUGCUCCCAUGUCACCCGCUACAAUCUUGUCCCCUCCCCAGGCCAGCUGCAGAACCAUGUCCAGAGCGUCGGGAACUUCUCCACGUUGUCACGGCAGCCGCUGAAGGCCACCGCCUAUGUCAGCCCCACCAUCAAGGCCCUGCCCCGCCUCCUUUGUUGGCACCCCAAGCUCCACCCCCCGCAGCGAGCAUGGAGUUUACUGACACCUCCAAAGAGCCUGCCACCCUCACUGCCCUUCGUGACAGCAGCCGGAGGGACGGCUGCUACUGAUCCCGCUGGCUCGGGUAACUCACCACACCUCAACGUAAAGCUUUUCCUUGGGGACGUUUGAAUGGGUUUGACCAAAAAGUAACUGUAACCUUAAAUCUGCUCAAGUCCUGCAUAGAAGAGUUCUCCAAAAGGGAAUCGAUCUCUCGUGUCAUCCAUUGAAUUCUAUGCAGAAUUUCUUCGGGGAAGGCGGGACGUCUUUUUUUCUGGAUUUGAGUGUAUGCAGAUCAGGUGUAAUUUUAGCGACUGCUUGACGCUUCUGAGUUUGGUCCGUGCCAAGGGGGAGUUGUUCCCCGUUGCUCUUGUGCAAUAAACCACUGGCUGUAGGGUACCAGUAGUACUAACCUACUAAAGAGGCCUGCCACUUUUUUUAUAAAUAAAGAGCCUCACAAUACUGUACGUAUUUAUAUAUUUAUUUUAAAUACCUUUUUUUUUUUAACUAAUCAGGUGUUUUCCCUCUGGCAACAAGUGCCAAAGAUGCUGCUAAAACGAAUCCGUCCCUGUUGGUUUGGGCACAUUUGGUCUCAUUUUUACAAGGUCUACUGUAUGUAUCUGUGUACAAAGCUUACUAUUAAAUGGCUAUUUAUAUAAAUAUA